UUCUGACCGUAAACGAUGCCAACUAGCGAUCCGCCGGUGGCUAUAAGGCCCUGGUGGGGAGCUUCCCGGAAACGAAAGUCUUCCGGUUCCGGGGGAAGUAUGGUUGCAAAGCUGAAACUUAAAGGAAUUGACGGAAGGGCACCACCAGGAGUGGAGCCUGCGGCUUAAUUUGACUCAACACGGGAAAACUCACCCGGCCCGGACACCGUGAGGAUUGACAGAUUGAUAGCUUUUUCAUGAUUCGGUGGUUGGUGGUGCAUGGCCGUUCUUAGUUCGUGGAUCGAUUUGUCUGGUUUAUUCCGAUAACGAGCGAGACUCCAGCCUACUAACUAGUGCGGGCGUUGCUUCUGCGCCUUCUGCACUUCUUAGAGGGAUUGGCUGCGUCUAGCGGCACGAAACGGAGCAAUAACAGGUCUGUGAUGCCCUUAGAUGUCCGGGGCUGCACGCGCGCUACACUGGCAAAGGCAACGUGCUUGUCCGACACCGAAAGGUGCCGGUAAACCCUUGAAAAUUUGCCGUGAUUGGGAUCGGAAAUUGCAAUUAUUUUCCGUGAACGAGGAAUUCCUAGUAAGUGCGAGUCAUCAGCUCGCGUUG
rnacentral:rRNA from 1 species